GUGAGGAAUAUUGCGCAAUGGAGGCAACUCUGACGCAGCCAUGCCGCGUGCAGGAAGAAGGCGCUACGCGUUGUAAACUGCUUUUAACCGGGAAGAAACCCCAGGACGUGUCCUGGGUUGACGGUACCGGAGGAAUAAGCACCGGCUAACUUCGUGCCAGCAGCCGCGGUAAUACGAAGGGUGCAAGCGUUAUCCGGAUUCAUUGGGUUGAAAGGGUGCGUAGGCGGAGCGUUAAGUCAGUGGUGAAAUCCUGCAGCUUAACUGUAGACUUGCAAUUGAUACUGGCGCUCUUGAGUGCGCUUGAAGUGGGCGGAAUGUGCCGUGUAGCGGUGAAAUGCUUAGAUAUGGCACAGAACACCAAUUGCGAAGGCAGCUCACUAAGGCGAUACUGACGCUGAGGCACGAAAGCGUGGGGAUCGAACAGGAUUAGAAACCCUAGUAGUCC
rnacentral:rRNA from 1 species